ACGUGUGGCAAGGAUCCAAAGUAGGAGUAACAUGGGACCUGAUCCAGUUCUCAUGAAGUCAAUCCCACUGGCUUUUAUAAGGAUUGGAUCCAGUCCAUGGCUCAUUUGUAUGCAGCUUCUAUACGGUUAUUAUCCUGAGGCUAGAGCAAGGUUUUGAAAGACUAAACUUCUGUGAUUUAAGAAUUACUGUUAAGUACAGUUUGCCUGAUUUUUAUCUUGAAGCUUUUAAUAAAUCCUGUCCUCACUGAA